CACGUAGGGCGCAAGCGUUGUCCGGAAUUAUUGGGCGCAAAGAGCUCGUAGGCGGUCUGUUGCGUCCGCUGUGAAAACUCGGGGCUUAACCCCGAGCCUGCAGUGGAUACGGACAGACUAGAGGUAGGUAGGGGAGAAUGGAAUUCCCGGUGUAGCGGUGAAAUGCGCAGAUAUCGGGAGGAACACCGGUGGCGAAGGCGGUUCUCUGGGCCUUACCUGACGCUGAGGAGCGAAAGCGUGGGGAGCGAACAGG
rnacentral:rRNA from 1 species